rnacentral:lncRNA from 1 species
AUGGAUUAUGGGUAUGAUUUGGCUUUUUUCUCUCUCUCUCUCUCGCUCUUUCUCUCUGGUCAUUGGUCCAUGGUGUUGGUCCGUUGUGUGCUCUGUGGCAAUCCCACCUGUAGCCAGGAGAGGGCUGCUCAGGCAGGCAGGUCUGGAUGGAUCCACGUUGCUCAGCUUCACAUAGGAAGUGCAGCAGCAGCACUGUUCACUGUUCACGUGAUAGAGAGAGACUGCAUGCUAUACGCCAGGGUGAGAGGCAGGAGCCCAGGGGGAGGAGUUAGACAGACAGACAGACAGAUAACAACAGUGUCAAAUCCUCUGUCUGCAACACUCCUCCGUGGUCUCCUCAGUCAGAGCCCUGCCUGUCACACGGCUUCAGGAUUUGGGGAGCCAUGGAAACAGACGUGUGGAUGAGUAGCUGUCAGUGUCACUGGGGUCUGUGCUGAAGCCGUGUGUUCUGUCAUACUGUGAUGAAAGUCAACAGUCCGUACAACUCUUCCUGCCACCUACUUUCAAGGACUCUUUACCCCACAGUCACAGUCACACACGCGUUGGCUGGUAGUGUUGUGUUAUGUUGACUCUGGCUGUGUGGCGUGGAGUGCAAACUGUGAACAUAUGUCUGCCUUCACAUAAAAGACGUCUCUUCAUGCAUAGCUGUGCGUGAAAUAUGGUCCCUUGAUAAACUCCUAUAGAUAUCGCAUGUCAUGUGUUCUCUUUUCUACAUUUACUGGUAUACGUUCUGUCACAAUGAUAUUUAUAAUAUAUGAACCUGUCGGAGCUGCAUGUGGGUAGAAAACAUGCAGCUUGUUGAGAUCUGAAUAUAUGAAUGUGUUUGUACACUCAGAAAAAAGGGUUCCAAAAGGGUUAUUCGGCUGUCAACAUAGGAGAACUAGUUUUCGUUCCACAUAGAACCCUUUUUGUGAAAAGGGCUCUACAUGGAACCCAAAAGUGUACUACCUGGAACAAACAAAAAAAUUAUUCAAAGGGUUCUCAUAUGGGGACAGCCAAAGAGCCCUUUUAAGUUCUAGAUCGCACCUUUUUUUCUAGGAGUAUAUUAGCUUUUUUUCUAGGAGUGUGUGUGUGUGGGGGUGUGUGUGUUUAUAUACUGUCCUCUAUGUCCAGUCAUCAGAUAUUGUGCUUGUACAUUGUAUGUGUCAUGUGCUUGGUGUGUCAUCUUGUCACCUCUCUCUCCCUCUCUCUCUCACUCACGUUCUCUGUCUCCUCUCACUCUCCUGCUCCAUGCUUUCUAAUCAAUAAGUCCUCUCUCGAAGUCGAUUACCCUCUUCCCCCACAGGAAAACAAACGUCCUUCCACAGGACAGAGGAAAGUGAAAAGAGGGAGGAAAGCGAGAGAGAAUAAUUUAGCAAAAAUACUGUAAACGUGAUGAAAUACCUAAACAGCUGUCCGUGCCACCCCGGAGGAAGGGAGGAGAGCAGGAGAGAGGUGAGAAAGAGGGGGACAUUGAAAGGGUAGUUAUGGGAUGGAUGAUUACCUCCUGUCUCCAAGGUUACACUUUACAACUGUAUCACCGCAGAGCGAGCAGGGAGGGAGGAGGGGGUGACAUGGACAGUCCAUCACAGGGGACUGAAAUAAAGAAGGCAGAGGCACCUUCCUCUGAUAGUGACCUUCAGGUUGAGGAUUAACGCUGGUCCUGACCUCCAGACUAAAACACCAUGGUACCUGCAUCCCAUUCAACAUGGCUAACCCUAACCAUGACCAGCAGAGCAGAAACCAAACAGAAACCAUGGGAAGGAGAGGGAUGGUGAGAAGGGGGUGA